rnacentral:rRNA from 1 species
AACACACUGAACAGGAUUCUUGUAGUAAUGGCGAAUGAACAAGGAAAAGCUCAUGCUGAAAAUCAAGCCUUUCAGGUUUGAAUUGUAUGUUUAUGAUGCAAUGCCAAUAGCAAUGCAGGGGUAAGCUUUUGGGGUGAAGCAGCAUUGAAGGUGAAAGUCCUGUGUGUCCCUUGUGGCUUGCUAUGUAUGGCAUGCUUCCACGAAUCGUGUUCCCUGAAACUGGAGCGCAAAGUGGGUGGUAAAUUUCAUCUAAAGCUGAAUAUGGGUUUGAAAUUGAUAGCAAACAAGUACCAUGAGGGAAAAGUGAAAAGGACUUUGAAAAGAAAGUUAGAAGUACCUGAAAUUGUUGAAAAGAAAGCAAACGAAAUUGAUCUUGUUGAGGUAGAUUGCUUCAUGUGUUUGGGGUGGCGACUUCGCACACUUGCUGUUAAGUGUCCCUUCUCCUCACCUGUGUGGUGUGUCUGCCUUUGCAUGUCAAACAUCAUUUAGGUCUUGCCAAUGUGCAUGGUGCAAGGGGCUUCAACUUUUUGAAUGAUUGCUCCUUCGUCUGGCAUCCUGUUUGAUUGCUGUACAUCUGGGCUGCCUGAGCAUGUUUUGCUCGUGUUUCCCUGAUGUGUUCUUUGGUGAUGAUAUUUCUUUUGACCCGUCUUGAAACACGGACCAAGGAGUCUAACACAUGUGCGAGUUUAUGAAUUUAGAUUUGUUGGCACAAUGAAAAUGACAGGUGGGAUUUGCGCACCACCAACCAACCAAUCAAUUGUGAGAGGUUUGAGCUUGAGCAUUUGUGUUAGGACCCGAAAGAUGGUGAACUAUGCUUGAGAAAAGUAAAUUCAGGGGAAACUCUGAUGGAGGCUUGCAUCGGUACUGACGUGCAAAUCGUUCGUCAUACUUGGGUAUAGGGGCGAAAGACUAAUCGAACCAUCUAGUAGCUGGUUCCCUCCGAAGUUUCCCUCAGGAUAGCUGGAAUGACACAGUUUCAUCAGGUAAAGCGAAUGAUUAGAGGAAUUGGGGGCUUGUUGUCCUUGACCUAUUCUCAAACUUUAAAUGGGUAAGAUCCAACAAUUUCUUGGGUGAAUUGGUGGGAUAAAUAAAUAUUCUAUGUGGGCCAUUUUUGGUAAGCAGAAUUGGCGAUGAGGGAUGAACCUAACGUUGAAAUAAAGUGCUUCAUUGCUCGCUCAUCAGAUACCAUAAAAGGUGUUGGUUCAUUUGAACAGCAGGACGGUGGUCAUGGAAGUCGAAAUCCGCUAAGGAGU